rnacentral:rRNA from 1 species
GACGAACGCUGGCGGCGUGCUUAACACAUGCAAGUCGAGCGGCAAGGCCCUUUCGGGGGUACACGAGCGGCGGACGGGUGAGUAAUGCUUAGGAAUCUGCCUAGUAGUGGGGGAUAACCCGGGGAAACUCGGGCUAAUACCGCAUACGCCCUACGGGGAAAGCGGGGGACGUUUCGGGCCUCGCGCUAUCAGAUGAGCCUAAGUCCGAUUAGCUUGUUGGUAGGGUAAGUGGCCGUACCAAGGCGACGAUCGGUAGCUGGUCUGAGAGGACGACCAGCCACACUGGGACUGAGACACGGCCCAGACUCCUACGGGAGGCAGCAGUGGGGAAUAUUGGACAAUGGGCGCAAGCCUGAUCCAGCGAUGCCGCGUGUGUGAAGAAGGCCUGCGGGUUGUAAAGCACUUUCA